UACGGAGGGGGCUAGCGUUGUUCGGAAUUACUGGGCGUAAAGCGCACGUAGGCGGCUUUACAAGUCAGGGGUGAAAGCCCGCGGCUCAACCGCGGAAUUGCCCUUGAGACUGUAUCGCUUGAACACGGGAGAGGUGAGUGGAAUUCCGAGUGUAGAGGUGAAAUUCGUAGAUAUUCGGAAGAACACCAGUGGCGAAGGCGGCUCACUGGACCGUUGUUGACGCUGAGGCGCGACAGCGUGGGGAGCAAACAGG
rnacentral:rRNA from 1 species